rnacentral:rRNA from 1 species
CAAAAACAUCGCCUCUUGGCCCCUUAUAAGAGGUCCCGCCUGCCCAGUGACCCAGUUCAACGGCCGCGGUAUCCUAACCGUGCGAAGGUAGCGUAAUCACUUGUUCUUUAAAUGAGGACUAGUAUGAAUGGCACCACGAAGGUUAUGCUGUCUCCUUUCUCUAAUCAAUGAAACUAACCUCCCCGUGAAGAGGCGGGGAUAUAUCUAUAAGACGAGAAGACCCUAUGGAGCUUUAAACAACAUAGCAUUAGCCUCACAUCUAUAUAUUUCAGAAAAAUAAACAUUACCUUGGCUAUAUAACUAUAAGUUUUAGGUUGGGGUGACCGCGGAGUACAAAUUAACCUCCACAUUGAAUGGGACCCUCCUGAGCAAUAAGCUACAGCUUUAAGCACCAACAAAUUGACAUUAAUUGACCCAAUAUUUUGACCAACGAACCAAGUUACCCUAGGGAUAACAGCGCAAUCCACUUCAAGAGCUCAUAUCGACAAGUGGGUUUACGACCUCGAUGUUGGAUCAGGGUGUCCCAGUGGUGCAGCCGC